CAGUGGGGAAUAUUGCACAAUGGGCGCAAGCCUGAUGCAGCGACGCCGCGUGGGGGAUGAAGGCCUUCGGGUUGUAAACCCCUUUCAGUAGGGAAGAAGCGAAAGUGACGGUACCUACAGAAGAAGCGCCGGCUAACUACGUGCCAGCAGCCGCGGUAAUACGUAGGGCGCAAGCGUUGUCCGGAAUUAUUGGGCGUAAAGAGCUCGUAGGCGGUCUGUCGCGUCUGCUGUGAAAACCCGAGGCUCAACCUCGGGCCUGCAGUGGGUACGGGCAGACUAGAGUGUGGUAGGGGAGACUGGAAUUCCUGGUGUAGCGGUGGAAUGCGCAGAUAUCAGGAGGAACACCAAUGGCGAAGGCAGGUCUCUGGGCCACAACUGACGCUGAGGAGCGAAAGCGUGGGGAGCGAACAGGAUUAGA
rnacentral:rRNA from 1 species